rnacentral:sRNA from 30 species
UAUCUCUCCGUACGGGGAAGGAUGAGAAGCUUCGACUAAGGUUCGAUUCGAGCGCAGCGAGAAAGCGUUGCCGCAGGCAACGACCCGAAGGGUGAGGAGCGGAGCGACGAAUAAUCCUUCCCCCACCACCA